rnacentral:rRNA from 1 species
AGUAAAAGUCGUAACAAGGUCUCCGUUGGUGAACCAGCGGAGGGAUCAUUGCUGGAACGCGCCCCAGGCGCACCCAGGAACCCUUUGUGAACUUAUACCUUACUGUUGCCUCGGCGCAUGCUGGCCCCCUCGGGGUCCCUCGGAGACGAGGAGCAGGCACGCCGGCGGCCAAGUUAACUCUUGUUUUUACACUGAAACUCUGAGAAAAAACACAAAUGAAUCAAAACUUUCAACAACGGAUCUCUUGGUUCUGGCAUCGAUGAAGAACGCAGCGAAAUGCGAUAAGUAAUGUGAAUUGCAGAAUUCAGUGAAUCAUCGAAUCUUUGAACGCACAUUGCGCCCUCUGGUAUUCCGGAGGGCAUGCCUGUUCGAGCGUCAUUUCAACCCUCAAGCAUUGCUUGGUGUUGGGGCACUGCUUCUUACCCAAGAAGCAGGCCCUGAAAUCUAGUGGCGAGCUCGCCAGGACCCCGAGCGCAGUAGUUAAACCCUCGCUCUGGAAGGCCCUGGCGGUGCCCUGCCGUUAAACCCCCAACUUCUGAAAAUUUGACCUCGGAUCAGGUAGGAAUACCCGCUGAACUUAAGCAUAUCAAUAAGCGGAGGAAAAGAAACCAACAGGAUUGCCCCAGUAACG